rnacentral:rRNA from 1 species
AUCCGCAUAAGAUUGUAGUACCGCAUGGUACAGCAAUUAAAGGAGUAAUCCGCUAUGAGAUGGACCCGCGUCGCAUUAGCUAGUUGGUGAGGUAACGGCUCACCAAGGCGACGAUGCGUAGCCGACCUGAGAGGGUGAUCGGCCACAUUGGGACUGAGACACGGCCCAGACUCCUACGGGAGGCAGCAGUGGGGAAUAUUGCACAAUGGGGGAAACCCUGAUGCAGCAACGCCGCGUGAGUGAUGACGGUCUUCGGAUUGUAAAGCUCUGUCUUUAGGGACGAUAAUGACGGUACCUAAGGAGGAAGCCACGGCUAACUACGUGCCAGCAGCCGCGGUAAUACGUAGGUGGCAAGCGUUGUCCGGAUUUACUGGGCGUAAAGGGAGCGUAGGUGGAUAUUUAAGUGGGAUGUGAAAUACCCGGGCUUAACCUGGGUGCUGCAUUCCAAACUGGAUAUCUAGAGUGCAGGAGAGGAAAGGAGAAUUCCUAGUGUAGCGGUGAAAUGUUA